UACGUAGGGUGCAAGCGUUGUCCGGAAUUAUUGGGCGUAAAGAGCUCGUAGGCGGUCUGUCGCGUCGGAUGUGAAAAUCCAGGGCUCAACCCUGGACCUGCAUUCGAUACGGGCAGACUAGAGUUCGGUAGGGGAGACUGGAAUUCCUGGUGUAGCGGUGAAAUGCGCAGAUAUCAGGAGGAACACCGGUGGCGAAGGCGGGAUCCUGGGCCAGUACUGACGCUGAGGAGCGAAAGCGUGGGGAGCGAACAGG
rnacentral:rRNA from 1 species